rnacentral:misc_RNA from 1 species
AAUUUAAUUUAUUUUAAGAUUUUUCCUCAUGAGCUUAGUUAGGAUGAAGUUUACCAACGUAGCAAGGGCAUUAAAUAAUAUAGAGAAACCUUCAGUGACUAAUCAUAAAUUGCAUUUGGAAAAUGAGCUUCUCAAACAUCAUCACAUGGGCGAAAUAUCAACCCAAUUGACAAUCUUUAUUAAUUUGAACUAAUCUUAGAUGUAGGAUUGA